AAAAAAAAACAAAAAAAACAAAAUAAUGCAGCCACAGGACCCAGGAAUUCCCUGUCAGUUCAGUGGUUAGGUCUCCGGGCUUUCACUGCCAAAAGCCUGGGUUCAAUCCCUGGUUGGGGAAUUAAGAUCCUACAAACUGCACAAUGCAGC